rnacentral:misc_RNA from 1 species
UGCUCGUCCUUGCUUGCUUUUUCUCUCUCCGGUGCCAGCACCGACACACACGCACACACACGCAAGGGACAUACAAGCCUUCAUAGAGAACACAGGCAGGUGGCAGUGGCGGGGGUCAUUGCGAGCCUAAAAGGUCGACAAGCGGGGACGAGGCCAUCCAAGGGCACAGGCGCACAAGCGCACGCAUACGCCAUUUCGCUUGGCGGACGCCUUCGUCCUUCCCCCUCCCCCUUCCAUACACGCACACACACACACACACACACAUACACCGAUCUGUAUCGAGUAUCGCAGCCUAUACCCCCUCCCCCUCCUCCCAUCCUCACACACUCUUAGAAGCGGCCAGCUGCAUCGGCACCGUGGGUCUAUUCUGCGUUUUACCUUUGUUGUGGCUUCCCUUCAUGCGUGUCGGCGUGCGUGCCGUCCUUCGCACAAGCUCAUCUUUCCCCAUCAUCGUCAUCCCUCUCUUCCGUCCUUUAGCGGCGGCUGAUCGACUUUUGGAGCGCAGGCACACUCGCGUCUUUGAAUCUGUCUCACGGUGCGUCUAACGCGUAGGGCGCCGCGCCUUUUCGGUUGUUUGUUUCCUGCCUUAGCGAGAGGGGCAUCGCGAAAGAUGCUCCGACUUUCUGUGAGGUCGUUGCAGUGGCAGUCGCCGAGCCGCGUGAGCGGCUGGGUGACCACGGCAGCAUCAGCGAGGAUAGCGACAGCCACCCCCACCGCUGUGAGCAACAACCAACACACCAUCACCACAAGCGCCCUUCAGAGCCAAGACAUGACCGAGUUCACGCGACGUGCGUCAGCCAUAAAGAAGCGGUGGCGCGGCAGGGGUCAGUACGGCUUCGCACGCGCGGAGGCGCAGCGCUUCCUCGACUCCGAGGUGCCAAAAGGCAACCUUGGCGCCUGGAUGGAAGAGGGCAGCAAUGCGAUCGCACUGUCUCAGCUGCUGAGCUUCUUCGAAAUCCAGCCAGAGGCGUCGCUGGCGUCGCUCAUUCUGAACAAGCUCAUCCGAACAGCGGAGGACGAGUCUACGCCGCUGAUAAGCCGACUGCACGCCGCUCUCAGUCUUAUCUGUACCCGCCCCGACGAGAACUACGAGCGCGUGUUUCACGUGAUCGCGCAGGCGCUGCAGCAGCUUCAUCGAAUCGCGCUGGAUGGCUGCGGGAAUGGCAGCAGCACCAGCAACGGCGUCGGGGGCGGUGGCGCGGGCCGAGUAGGCGAUGACACCUCCCCUGUUUCACCAGCGCAGAUGCUUCCGUUCGAUGCAGUGGGCGUGUGCGCCAAGGCACUGCAGCGGUGCGGGAAGCGAACGCCGCCGAUGCUGAAUGAACAGCUAACCGUGUUCGCAAUGGCGCUGCUGCAGAAGACCCCGGUUACCAACCUCCCCUACAUGCAAUCGACUCUUCUGCGUCUGUAUGCUUGGAUGGUGCGAGCCGAGCGAUCGGAGGCGAACCAGCUGCUCUACAUCUUGAUUGAGCAAACUGGCGAGUUCGCACGGCACGACUUUAGCACGCUGAUGGUGUCAUGCGCGCGGCAUCACCAACUCAUGCAUCUUCCAGUGGAACUUAUCCAGCGUCUGGCGCGCGUCGCAUUCCAGUACCGUAACUCCUUCAACGGUCGCGACGGUGCGGCGAUACUCGGCACUCUUGCCAAGCUGGUCGUCUCUCUCACCGCAGGCGCGAACGGCGUGACCGCUGCCGACGUCGUCCGUGCUCAGGAUUACUUCAACGCGUUGUUGGAAGAGAUGCAGCAACGCGUCCUGCGCCUGUUCGACGUCAACGACAAGCUAUUCUGGAGAAACUCUGAGGACAUGUCGUCCUGCGCGUUCGCGUACGAGCUUGGCGGGCAUGUGCGCUACCACCGUGUGUUUCAGGCUUACGCGGCGUACGUGCAGCACUCCGUGGACAGCUUUGAGCCGCCGCAGCUGGCCCUCGCUACGGGCAUUCUGCGCCGAGCGCAGCUGCUCACCCCACACCUGGCCGCGCGGCUGUCUGAGAGAAUUGAGGUGGUCCUGGGUGAGCUGCGCUUGGCGGAGCUCUCGCACAUCUGCGCCACUUUCGCCGCGCUGCCGUCGCCGCGGCCGGGGUGGUGGGAUGAGGCGAGGGCCGUCGCACUGCGUCUUCUCCAGCCAGAUGUCAGCGGUCUUGUCUCUAUGAACCUCGCCAUCGCCUUCCCUGAGCAGCCUGGCUUCGCCGAAACCAUCGACUACGCGCAGAUCACCAGCCGGCAGCUCGUGGAUCUUCUCCCUAUCACGCUGGAGUCAGCCCAGUUUGGGGAGGCGGUGGUAGCGACGAUGUGCCAGCGAUUGGCUUCGCAAGGGGAACGCUUCGCACCGGAUGACCUGCGGCUGCUGCUGGCCUGCGGGGAGCGUCCGCAGCUGGUGCAAGCGGCACAGGAACACCUCCGCCAGGCUUUUGCCCAUCCCGUGUGGAGUACAGACACCCUCUACUCGCUGCCACUCGUGAUCGACGCGAGCCACCCGGAAAGGAACCUGCAGCACUUCAGCGUGGCGAAGGCAUUAGCGGCGGCCAAGACGGCGUCUGUUGGUCCGGCGCAGUUCGUGUCACUCGCAGAGCUUCUCCUCAGCUCUUUCGGCGACACGGAUCAGGCCGUGCGUGAGUACAUACAGGCCGGUGGUGAUGACUUGGUGAAGGAAAAAGGCGUGUACGGUGGCACCGUUGUUCGCUACCUUUCCGUUAUACGCCGCUUCCCGAGCAUGGUGCCACCCACCGAGUGGCUGCACGGCUACGCCGAUAUGCUGGAGACCCAGAUGCCGGGGAUGGAUCCUGACAACCUCGAGGAUGUCCUGCUCUCCCUACGCACCCUUUACGAGGAUGUGGCCAAGACACCGGCGCUGCAGAUGGUGCUGUCGUCUCUCGUGCAGCGGUUCUACGAGGAGCUGGCUGACUCGGAGCAGACAGCGCGCAUCACGGUGCUGGUGGUGUACUUGCAGAAUGGCAUGACGCUGCCGCUGCUCACCGCUAGCAGCCCGACGCUGCAGCGUGUGACAAGCAAGGAGUCGCAGUACACGCCAGAAGUGCGUCGGGCAUUGGCGAUGAUGCCGACCCCAAAGGCUCUCCCGGCGGAGGAGCGUCGCGGACGGUUUGUGCUGAAGCACCUAGAGCCGGCCCACCGCAGUAGCGAAGCGGCGAUGCCGUUGCUGGACCUGAAUCUCGGCGACCCCUUCCUUGAUUCUCUGUCGAUUGCGGAGCCUGCCGCAAAGCCACAGACACAACCCCCGGUGGUCGCAGAGGCACCUUCUGCCCCGUCCAGCGCACCCGCCACCAAGACUGCUGCACCAGCUCCUGAGACUAAAACAGCCGCUGGCCCGCCACCUCCGCCACCGAGGGAGGAGAAGCCGAUGUCCUACUACGCGAAAUUCUUCAGCUCCUCGGUGGGGCAGAUCUUUGUCGGCCGUGGCGACCGCUCCCACGAGGAGAAGAAGCCGGCGACCCCUAGCGAGCCGGCAGUGCCGCCGAGGGAGGAGGAACCGCAGAAGCCCGAGGCACCACCGCAGCCCCGUCGCACGCGACUGCACCCCUCAGCCCACACCUCCGUGGCAGCAGCAGCAGUUCCAGCGACACCGGUAGCGGAGGGUGAGCCGUCCCAGCCACAGCCAACACAACAGCAGCCGUCCUCGCCAGCCGCCACCCCUGUUGCUGUCCCUGUCACCACCUUUACCACAGCCUGGGGUAGCAGGGCGCCGCCGCUUGCAGGACCUGGAUGGGGUUUCUCAGCCGCCGCGACAUUACAGUCGACAUCGGCAACCGCGGAGAAGCAGCACAGCAGCGCGUUCAGCUCCCUUUUUGGUAUGCCGCCCAUCCCGUCACCAGCGACAGCGGCGGCGGCCCCGGCUCCUAUAGCGAAACCUGCUGCCGUCCCUGCCCCCGCGGCCAGCCGCCCGGCGCGCAUGGGUGGUAUGGGUGGCAACAACAUCUUCUUCAACCCGAGAAAUCCCUCGGCCUCGCGAGGACGACCAGUCAUGUCACAUAAGGCGGUCAUCACGCGCCCGGGCCUGCACGGUGCUGCGGCGACGACGACCGGGGCAGCGGUGGGCCGGGCACCAUCCGCAGCCACCGCUUCGGAGACCGUUUUCAACUCAGCCGCGGCGGAGGGCAUGAGACGCAUCUCCGUGGAUACGGCCCGCGCUUCUCACGUGCCACCGCUCGCCAACACUCCAGUUGGGCCGCCGAUCGUUCGGAACGCGGCGGCCGCCCCCACUGCUGAUACCGCCGCAGCGGCGGCGAAUCGACACGAAAGCGGAAACGGCAUGGCAAAGAUCUCCGGGUACAGCAUAGGCGAAGGGAGCACAAGGGGAGCGGUGGCCGCUGUGGGCGGGCCUUCAGCGGCACCCUUUUCGGCUGGCAGGCAGGAGAGCAGGCCGGCGCUGGACUGGAUGGAUGCGGCGCGGCGUGUGGGGCGAGUGACGCGGCUGCCACGCAGCAAGACGAAGACGCGCUCACAGCAGAACUUGUCGGCCUGGCUCAACGCGCCAUCCGCGCGGCUGGACAGUCCGGCCAAGGAGGAAACCGGGGGGGCAGCGUCCGAGUCGCCGGCCGCUGGGCGCGGGCGGCAAGCGACGGUGGCGGAGGUGCUGAAAGGGCGUCGGUCAAAGAGGGAUUCCACCAAAAGCGCUACCGAGGCGGCGGCCCAUGACGAGGCCGGAGGAUCCCACGCAAAACGCGGUGGCGGCGGCCGUGGGAGGGGGCGGGGCGGCAAAGCGGGCGCGGCCGGCGGCAAGGCUGCGAAGGCCACCAAAGCCGCCGGCCACGCCCACCACCACGUCAGGGCGGCUGCCACGGCAGCGCAAGCGAAGAAGAAGAGUGGUAAAGCCGCUGCAGCAGGCGCUGCACCGGCGUCGUCAUCGAAGAAAGGCGCAGCAGCCAAGCCCGCCAAGGCAGCGGCCUCGUCGAAGGGUAGCGGUGGCGCUGGCAACAACGGACGCACCAAGCGUGCCGCUUCGACGACGGUAGCGGUGAAGCCGGCGAAGAAGGCGGUUAAGGCGGCCGCCAAAAAGGCCACCGCGGCUGCUGCCAAGAAGCCAACGAAGGGAAAGAAGUAGUGGGGCGUCACUGGGGGUGUCUUGCGCCCCGCCGGCACCUUCUCCCUCCUUCUCUUCUCCAGCCUCACUCCGACCGCUGUGCUGUGAGCGAUAAGUGUAUCCCCCCACCCCACUCACGCCCCACCGACGCUACCCAAUCACCCCUCCCCCCUCACCGCAAGAAAAUGCAGCACGACGCCGACGGCUCGUUGGCGCCGAUGGGUGAUGUCGAGGCGCCGAUUCUCGAGUGUCGUGGCGCACGUGCGUGUGUGUGUAUGCGUGUGUGUACUUGUAUGGAAGCAGACGGAGCUGCAUAGAGGCGAAGAGCGAGGAAAAGAUGGCAGGUUCAAGAAGUCAGCGAUGGGAUCCAUAGAGGGAGUGGGUGUGUGAGAGUGUGUGUGCACCUACAACAACGAAACCCCCUGUUUUCCCGGUGUGGAGGUGGGUGUAUAGAAGGGCGUAAAACGCAGAAGAGAACAGCCACGCGCAUCGUGACGACACGGUGUGAUGAGCUGCAGCCGCGUCCCUUGCCCUCUUCUCUCGCUUGUUGGUGUUGCACAUAGAUAGAAAGGAGAUAAAAGGAUGAGAGGCCGCGAGGAGGAAAGGGGAGGACUAGUAAGUUGAUUGGUGGAGCGGUGGGAUAGGAGGGUGGGAGAGGGCUGCGCACGUGGGCGAAGAUCCGAGGAAGAGGUGCCAAACGUGGGGUCUCUUGCACAACGCCGCCUGGUGGGGCGGUAGGGGGGAGCACCCAAUGGAAAGUCUGUUGCCUCUGUCUCUCUCUCUCCCCACACACACAUACAUAUGUGUGUGAUAGUCGUUGUCGUUUUCCGUUUGCGCACCGGGUGUCGGGGCAGUAUUUCAUGUAUGCAUGUGGCCCACUUCGUCGUCCUCAACCGGGCCGCCCCAUUCGACUUGCUGUGUGAGGAAGUCUUGCCAUCUCCCCACCCCUCCUUCUCGAUGUUUACUCUUUGUGGCCUUGUCUCCCAGAGAUUGCCGGUCUUAUCUGCGUGUGGGGGUGUCUGACCAUCGUGGUGUCUACGCGUGUCUGGGUCUGUUCGCGCGACUGUCUGCGCUUGUGCUUGUGCGUACUGAAGCUACGAUGGGGCG